GAUAUGAUAUCUGUUCCCCUCAGUGUGUAAGAUUCAGAAAAAAAAAGGGUGCUAAAUUAAAAUGUUGGCCUGGCUUAUUGAAAUGACAUUAAUUAGCAACAGUCUUGGAAAUUUUUAAGGCUUAAUUUGGAUAUACAUGAUAAAACUUAAUACUACUUUAGGAACUUCAGAACAAAGGAAGCAGCUUAAUGAUCCUGAGGAAAUUUCCUCUGAUGGUGGCCUUUAUAUUUUCAGAAAAAGAUCCUAUUUUCAGUUUUGUGUGGGCAAGUGUUUCUAAUAUAAAGAGAUAUAAAGAUAUAAAAUUUUGAGAAUUGCAUCUUAAACCUGAAAAUUAUGACUUAUAGCUAAAAUGCCUUAGGCAUGAGGUUUCUGCUCAGAAUUCCAGUUUUCCCAGUUCCUUCCAGACCUCAGCCAGGACUUAAGCUGAUAUGCAAAUAGAAGAAGCUUGGGGCACUCAGCAGGAGACAGAUUUCAGGCCCAAGGGAAAAAAAAAGAGUUAAAGUGUCUUUUUACCUGAACUCAAACUAGACCCCAACCAAAAAGUAAAUUAUAUGGUAUUUACUAAUUACUGGCCAGUCAUCUUUUUUAGGACUCUUGCUUUUUCUUAGAUUCUGUAUUUUUUU
rnacentral:lncRNA from 1 species